rnacentral:rRNA from 1 species
GACGAACGCUGGCGGCGUGCUUAACACAUGCAAGUCGAACGGUGAAGCGCCUUCCUUUUUGGUGGGUGUGGAUGAGUGGCGAACGGGUGAGUAACACGUGAGUAACCUGCCCCCUUCUUCUGGAUAACCGCAUGAAAGUGUGGCUAAUACGGGAUUUUCUGGGUCUGUCGCAUGAUGGGUCUGGGAAAGAUAUUGUUUCGGUGGGGGAUGGGCUCGCGGCCUAUCAGCUUGUUGGUGGGGUGAUGGCCUACCAAGGCGGUGACGGGUAGCCGGCCUGAGAGGGUGGACGGCCACACUGGGACUGAGACACGGCCCAGACUCCUACGGGAGGCAGCAGUGGGGAAUAUUGCACAAUGGGCGCAAGCCUGAUGCAGCGACGCCGCGUGAGGGAUGGAGGCCUUCGGGUUGUGAACCUCUUUCGCCAGUGAAGCAGGCCUGCCUCGUUUGUGGGUGGGUUGACGGUAGCUGGAUAAGAAGCGCCGGCUAACUACGUG